UUUUUUUUUUUUUUUUUUGGAGUAGGGGAGAGUGCCUUAGGUGUGCAGUAACAAUGACAUCCCUAAUCAGGCCAUUUGUUGUAGCAAGGUUCCUUUAACUUGUGCCACAGCUGUGUCCAUAUCUCAGCACAGGAGGGUAGUCUUAGGCCCAUGGGAGAAAGAAGCACUUUCCCUGGUUGCUUAUUGCCCACAGUCUCCUUGUCAAUAUGUCUUACUAGUUGUACUUAGGUCAUCUGGUAUUGUCAGAGGGAUGUCUAUUCAAUCAAGGAGAGGAAUAAGUUCAUCUGGGCUACCUUCUGUUGCUAAUUUGGGAUACAGGAUGUGCCAGGUCUGGGUCACCUUCUUGUGUUGGAUGAAGGUGCCUAGGAGAACUUGCUGCUAUUCAUUUUCUCCUCCAGUCCUGGGUCUCAAAUCAGUUUGUCUUCUUCUGACCACCUUUCACAGUUCUCUUUUGAUCGCCUCUUGUGAUAUUUCUAGGGUUUACUGUUAUAUUUAGCUAGGAGAAGAAAAAAUGAUUCUAUGCCAUCUUGUCUGAAUCAAAGUCUCAAUCUUACUUUAAUAUGUUUAAUGAGCGAUUUAGAGAAUAAUGAUGUUUAAAAUACACACAACCCAAGGAAAAAUAAGACAUUAAAAGACCUAAAUCUGUACUCAGUUAUUCUUGCUGUAUCCAGGAUAGCUCCUGACUGAUUAAAUUAAAAGUAAAUGACAGCUCUUGAAGUUAACAACUAAUAAAGCACCAACUAUACUAUGUGAUAACUAAACUGAUUGUAUUUGGUAUUUUAAAAAAUUAUGAUAACUGUUUCUCCAUCCCGUCACUUUCAUUCUGCAGGUAGCUUUUGGUCUAAAAUGCAUCCCUUGUAGGCAGCAUAUAUAUGGGUUGGACUUCAAGUUAUAUUAGAAAGCUGUAGUAAACAAAACAGUAUGGUAGGGACAAAAAAAUAAACACAUAGAAAAAAGGAACAUAAAAGAAAACCCAGAAAUAAACCCACAAUUACAUAGUUAAUCGAUCUUCAACAAAGCAGGAAAGAAUAUCCAAUGGAAAAAAGACAGUCAAUUCAACAAAUGGUGUUGAGAAAUCUGGGCAGCAACAUGUAAAAGAGUGAAUCUGGACCACUUUCUGACAUCAGACACAAAAAUAAAUUCAAAAAGCAUGAAAGACCUAAAUAUGAGAUCUGAAAGCAUAAAAAUCCUAGAAGAGAGCACAGGCAGUAAUUUCUCUGACAUUGGCUGUAGCACUUCCUUCUAGAUAUGUCUCCUGAAGUAAGGGAAACAAAAGCAAAAAUGAACUAUUGGGAUGUCAUCAAAUUAAAAAAGCUUCUGCACAGUGAAAGAAAUAAUCAACAGAACUAAAAGGCAACCAAUGGAAUGGAGAAGGUAUUUGCAAAUGACACACAUGAUAAAGGGUUAGUAUCCAAAAUACAUAAAGAACUUAUAAAACUCAACACCCCCAAAACAAAUAAUCUAAUUAAAAAUGGGCAGAAUAUAUGAAUAGACACUUUUCCAAAGAAGACACCCAGAUGGCCAGCAAACACAUGAAAAGAUGCUAAACAUAAUCAUCAGGGAACUACAAAUCAAAACUACAAUGAGCUAUCACCUCACAACUGUCAGAAUGUCUAAAAUCAACAACACUAGAAACUACAGGUGUUGGUGAGGGUGUGGAGAAAGGGGUACGCUUUUCCACUGUUGGUGGGAAUGCAAACUGGUGCAGUCACCUUGGAACAGUAUGGAGGUUUCUCAAAAAGUUAAAAAUAGAACUACACUCGGAUCCAGCAAUUGCACUGCUAGGUAUUUACUAAAAGAAUACAAAAGUACUAAUUCAGAGGGAUACCUGCACCCUAAUGUUUAUAGCAGCAGCAUCUACAAUACCCAAAACAUGGAAGCAUCCCAAGUGCCCAUAGAAUGAUGCAUGGAUAAAGAAGAUGUAGUAUAUAUACAACGGAAUAUUACACAGCCAUAAAUAGAAUGAAAUCUUGCCGUUUGCAAGGACAUGGAUAGAGCUAGAGAGUAUAAUGCUAAGAGAAACAUGUCAGUCAGAGAAAGACAAAUACUAUUUGAUUUCACUCACAUGUGGAAUUUAAGUAGUAAAACCAGUGAGUGAAGGGUAAGAAAAGAGAGAGAGAGGCAAACUAAGAAACAGACUCUUAAUUCUAGAGAACACACUGAUUAUUACCAGAGGGGAGGUGGCUGGGGGAUGGGUGAAAUAGGUGAUGGGGAUUAAGGACGGCACCUGUUGUGAUGAGCACUAGGUGUUGUACUGAAGUGUUAAAUCACUAUAUUGUACACCUGAAACUAAUAUUAUACUGUGUUAACUGGAAUUUGAAAACUUCAAAUAAUUUAUGUAUUUAGCAUUUAUGUUAGUAACCAAACUAAAAAUAAUGCCAGCAAUAAAAAUAUCUCAGUUCACUGAGAUAUAUGAAACUUUAAUACGUAGACUUAUUUUUCCAUUUAAUUUUAUGAAAACUGUCAAAACUAAGCAAACAAAAAAUUUCACCUUCUGAAACUGUUGACCGGUGUAUGACAAGUAUACAAUGUAUAUACGGAGUGCAUAUAUAAAUAUAAAUAUAUAUAUAUAUACACGUAUAUAUUAAUUACACAUGUCUAACUUGAACAAAGUAGGCAGUACAAUAUACAGCCACCGCACUGCCUAUUAUUUCAAGUGUUUUAGGCAAGGUCAAGACUGGUUAUUUAUGAGGAACCGAAAUUCUGAGUUAAGCACAUUUGGUCUGAAUAUUAAAAUACAUUAAAAUAAUCUAUAUUUUCUAAUAAUUAGAAUGUUUCUUAAGGAAGUAACAAUCAUAGCAAAUAAAAUCAAUUUAGAAGGUGUUUACUUUCCAAAAUCAUCCCAAUUAAAUGUAGGACAAAAAUAUUUAAAAAUGUUUUAACAGUUAAAUAAAAAGUAAUUUUUGCUGAACUACUUCUUUUUUAUAUUUGAUAUUUCCCUCUAAGCUUUUUAUUAAGGUUUACACAAAUGUUCAUAAUCUUGCCACAACGUUUUUCUGUCUUCAAUUCAGGCACUUUAUUAAGGCAUUCUCCUCUACUUCUCUUAUUAUAGGCCCCUUUAUAUUUCUGUUACUUUGGUUUUCUGUCUCAUGUCAUUGGGUAAAAAAUUCAAAAGCAAAGAUUCCUUCCCGCCCCUUCCUUCCUUCUUUCACCCUGAUGCUAACACAGAGCAUAGCGCAUAUAAGUUCCCCAUAGAUUCUUGCUAAAUGCAUUUGUAUUUGACAAGAAAGAAGUAAGUAAAAAUAAAGUUAUGAGAGCAGAGCAGUUUUUUCCUUUGAAAAUCAUAGUUUAAAUUCAGUGAGGGGUAUUAACGACGCUGCAUAAAUGACUUCCUAUUUCACUGAAGUGUUUAAUAAGGCCUUUAAAACAGUACUUCAUGGCAUCCUGCUCAUCAAAGCACAUUUGGGACUCUUUUUGGUUCCUAAUAAGUAAUAAAUAACAACAGGAUUUGGGGUUUGCAUAAGGACCUAAAAAGGAAAGUUAGCUAAGCUAUUCCUAUGUACUCCUUUAUAACUAGGCUGAUAAAAUUUUAGUUUAUUAUGUCUACAAUUUACACAGAUGAAUUUUCAAUUGCUUUCUUUAUUAACUUAUAAAGUAUAUUCUUUAAAAAGUAAACAAAAUACAAAACCUUAGAUAAUGUGACAUAAUAAACUAGUUAUUUUUAUUCUCACUCCGUUAUGGAAAUCACAGUUUACAAAGAGGUUAGAUUAAUCCUUAUUCUUUGUGUGUUGUAAUGUUGGGGAAAGAUGAACUUGGUCCAUUUCAUGUUUUAACACUACAUAGGGAUUCAUUCCUAAUUCAAAGUUACAUCCUAAGAGGAAGAAAAAUAUACACGAAGCCUUUGAAACACAUUUUCUGUUUGUACAGAUUUUGAAAACUAGAGCAUCAAAUGACAAAACUCAGAAUUCUUUCUGCCAAAAUAGUGUAAGGCAUGGAGCAUACCAAGCAAGAGAGAUGUGGGAAGGCCUGCUCAGCCUACAAUUUCUCUCACUUUUCUGAGAACUGCCACCUUUUCCUUCAAUAAACCCAUAAGCAUAGUCCCUGGUGUCAUGUUUGUACUGUGUGACAAUGCCUUCCAGCCAGGGCUGAUUGGACCAAGAUUACUGAUACUUGACUCAAUGUGUGGGACAAAAAAGAUGCCCCCCCUGGGGUGUUUUACCUGAGACUCAUCAACUGAGAACUUGUAUACUCAGUCAUCCUCAAUAGCAGAUGACUAGGGAAAAGGUCCAUGUCCCCACCAUUCUUACAGCUUGCUUAUUCAAUUUUCCUUGAAUUCUACUACUAUAUAAGCCACACACACACACACACACACACACACACACACACAGCAUGAGUACUGAAGUGCAUUUGAUUUGCCUUUCUAUCUCUUGCAAGGAAGGUACAUUAUUAAUAUUUACAACAUGGCUUGAAAAAUCAGGUAUAUUUCAGGAAGAAAAGAUGAUGCUUCUACAGAGACUGAAGUAAACAAGGAACGAGGAUAUUUUUAAUGACAUACAGUAGAUCUCUCUUAUCUAUGGGGUAGAUGUACCCAGACCCCCAGGGAAUGUCUGAAACCGUGGAUAUUACCAAACUCUACAGACACUAUUUUUUCCC
rnacentral:lncRNA from 1 species